rnacentral:rRNA from 1 species
GAGUUUGAUCAUGGCUCAGAUUGAACGCUGGCGGCAUGCCUUACACAUGCAAGUCGAACGGCAGCACGGGAGCAAUCCUGGUGGCGAGUGGCGAACGGGUGAGUAAAGUAUCGGAACGUACCUUUCAGUGGGGGAUAACGUAGCGAAAGUUACGCUAAUACCGCAUAUUCUGUGAGCAGGAAAGCAGGGGAUCGCAAGACCUUGCGCUGAUUGAGCGGCCGAUAUCAGAUUAGCUAGUUGGUGAGGUAAAGGCUCACCAAGGCGACGAUCUGUAGCGGGUCUGAGAGGAUGACCCGCCACACUGGAACUGAGACACGGUCCAGACUCCUACGGGAGGCAGCAGUGGGGAAUUUUGGACAAUGGGGGCAACCCUGAUCCAGCCAUGCCGCGUGAGUGAAGAAGGCCUUCGGGUUGUAAAGCUCUUUCGGCCGGGAAGAAAUCGCAUGGGCUAAUACCCUGUGUGGAUGACGGUACCGGAAUAAGAAGCACCGGCUAACUACGUGCCAGCAGCCGCGGUAAUACGUAGGGUGCGAGCGUUAAUCGGAAUUACUGGGCGUAAAGCGUGCGCAGGCGGUUUAGUAAGACAGGCGUGAAAUCCCCGGGCUCAACCUGGGAACUGCGCUUGUGACUGCUAAGCUAGAGUACGGCAGAGGGGGGUGGGAUUCCACGUGUAGCAGUGAAAUGCGUAGAGAUGUGGAGGAACACCCGAUGCGAAGGCAGCCCCCUGGGCCGAUACUGACGCUCAUG